GUUGCAGAAAAAGUGUGUAUGAAUUGGCAUGAUAGUAUUGGAUGAAAACGAGAGCAGUUCUCAUGCUCCUCUGCUUCGUUGCCAGCGAAGUUUGUACCUCUAGUUGGCCCUCUCUUUCCUGCUUGUUCCUACCCUGCCGCUUUUUCCUCUCAUUCCUCUUCCUCCUCUUCUUCUCCAAGAACUGAACCACCGAGGGAUGCCUACCCGAGGAUAUGUUCUGAUCUUUGUCUUCUGGGCUCUGCUCACCAUCAUUACCCCGACUCUCGUCUCCUGGUCGGCGUCAGCAAAGCCAAAUCUUGUUGCUCCCGGAGAGACUUUGCUGGAGAUGAAGGUCAAUAGGAGAAUGAUGGGUUCCGUAGAGACCGCUGCCCAACUAAAGAACGGCACCAGGAAGACGAUAACACGAGCAACGGCGCCAUCGCCGGCUGCAGCUCCGGCACCAGCUCCUGCGGCAGGACAUGACGUGCUCAGCUAACGCUAACACUUCCAUGACGGCGGCGUCGAUUGACCUUUGAUUUUUCAGGUGAUAGGUAUUUAUAUAUAUACGAGCGAUUGGGGGGUAUCAUAAUAGUGUGGCAGAUCUUGUGAGUUCUGAUCACAAGAAAGAGUGGGUAGAUCACUCCUAAACCAUUUGCUAGAGAGGAUCUUCCCUUCCCCAGCAUUCGUGGUAAGAAUUUCUUGUAAAGAUCCACAUUACAUGAUUGUUGCCAGCGUUUGUUCGAUUCAACUUUCAUCUG